rnacentral:lncRNA from 1 species
AAUGAGUAAUCCACAAUGCACUCUUAUCCUCAUCAAUCUGAAGAACAUUCUUACUAAAUACUGCAGUACAUGUUCCACAACUGUAAUCGCUGCAAAAUAUCAAAUAGACUCUUAUUGCUCAGCAACAGAACAUAGGUGCCCAUGGCGAGCAUAGCUAUAAACCAUCAACCUCAGAACAGCUUCAUGAAAUUCUGAAGCCCCACAAACCAUAUCAGAAGACAGGCAAAUUAACACAUGGCACAGGCAUGAAAACCUGAGUAAUCCACAAUGCACUCUUAUCCUCAUCAAACUGAAGAACAUUCUUACUAAAUACUGCAGUACAUGUUUCACAACUGUAAUCGCUGCAAAAUAUCAAAUAGACUCUUAUUGCUCAGCAACAGAACAUAGGUGCCCAUGGCGAGCAUAGCUAUAAACCAUCAACCUCAGAACAGCUUCAUAAAAUUCUGAAGCCCCACAAACCACAUCAGAAGACAGGCAAAUUAACACACGGCACAGGCAUGAAAACCUGAGUAAUCCACAAUGCACUCUUAUCCUCAUCAAACUGAACAUUCUUACUAAAUACUGCAGUACAUGUUUCACAACUGUAAUCGCUGCAAAAUAUCAAAUACUCUUAUUGCUCAGCAACACCCGAAAAAUGUAUAACAUCAUGCUUGCAUCCGACAUUGUAAGAAAGCCAAAAUCAUCCAUUUGAUCGUAUACAUGUGACUAACACAGCAUAGAUAUUAUGCAUUCUCUAAUGGGGCAGCUAAACUGGAGAAUGACAAACGCAAAAAUAAUCCAUUCUUGGCAACUGAUUGAUUUGAUCCAUUGAUCUGAGCGAACAGGAAGAGAUUCAU